UACAGAGGUCCCGAGCGUUGUUCGAAUUCACUGGGCGUAAAGGGUGCGUAGGUGGUUGGGUAAGUUUGAUGUGAAAGCUCAGGGCUUAACCCUGAAAUGGCAUUGAAUACUACUUAACUGGAGGUUUGGAGGGGGGACUGGAAUUCUUGGUGUAGCAGUGAAAUGCGUAGAUAUCAAGAGGAACACCAGUGGCGAAGGCGAGUCCCUGGACAACACCUGACACUGAGGCACGAAAGCUAGGGGAGCAAACAGG
rnacentral:rRNA from 1 species